rnacentral:rRNA from 1 species
CACGUAGGGCGCGAGCGUUGUCCGGAUUUAUUGGGCGUAAAGAGCUCGUAGGCGGCUUGUCGCGUCGACUGUGAAAUCCCGCGGCUCAACUGCGGGUCUGCAGUCGAUACGGGCAGGCUAGAGUUCGGUAGGGGAGACUGGAAUUCCUGGUGUAGCGGUGAAAUGCGCAGAUAUCAGGAGGAACACCAGUGGCGAAGGCGCCACUCUGGGCCGUAACUGACGCUGAGGAGCGAAAGCGUGGGUAGCAAACAGG